GACGAACGCUGGCGGCGUGCUUAACACAUGCAAGUCGAACGGAAAGGCCCUGCUUUUGUGGGGUGCUCGAGUGGCGAACGGGUGAGUAACACGUGAGUAACCUGCCCUUGACUUUGGGAUAACUUCAGGAAACUGGGGCUAAUACCGGAUAGGAGCUCCUGCUGCAUGGUGGGGGUUGGAAAGUUUCGGCGGUUGGGGAUGGACUCGCGGCUUAUCAGCUUGUUGGUGGGGUAGUGGCUUACCAAGGCUUUGACGGGUAGCCGGCCUGAGAGGGUGACCGGCCACAUUGGGACUGAGAUACGGCCCAGACUCCUACGGGAGGCAGCAGUGGGGAAUAUUGCACAAUGGGCGGAAGCCUGAUGCAGCAACGCCGCGUGCGGGAUGACGGCCUUCGGGUUGUAAACCGCUUUCGCCUGUGACGAAGCGUGAGUGACGGUAAUGGGUAAAGAAGCACCGGCUAACUACGUGCCAGCAGCCGCGGUGAUACGUAGGGUGCGAGCGUUGUCCGGAUUUAUUGGGCGUAAAGGGCUCGUAGGUGGUUGAUCGCGUCGGAAGUGUAAUCUUGGGGCUUAACCCUGAGCGCGCUUUCGAUACGGGUUGACUUGAGGAAGGUAGGGGAGAAUGGAAUUCCUGGUGGAGCGGUGGAAUGCGCAGAUAUCAGGAGGAACACCAGUGGCGAAGGCGGUUCUCUGGGCCUUUCCUGACGCUGAGGAGCGAAAGCGUGGGGAGCGAACAGGCUUAGAUAUCCUGGUAGUCCACGCUGUAAACGGUGGGUACUAGGUGUGGGGUCCAUUCCACGGGUUCCGUGCCGUAGCUAACGCUUUAAGUACCCCGCCUGGGGAGUACGGCCGCAAGGCUAAAACUCAAAGGAAUUGACGGGGCCCCGCACAAGCGGCGGAGCAUGCGGAUUAAUUCGAUGCAACGCGUAGAACCUUACCUGGGUUUGACAUGGAUCGGGAGCGCUCAGAGAUGGGUGUGCCUCUUUUGGGGUCGGUUCACAGGUGGUGCAUGGCUGUCGUCAGCUCGUGUCGUGAGAUGUUGGGUUAAGUCCCGCAACGAGCGCAACCCUUGUUCACUGUUGCCAGCACGUUAUGGUGGGGACUCAGUGGAGACCGCCGGGGUCAACUCGGAGGAAGGUGGGGAUGACGUCAAGUCAUCAUGCCCCUUAUGUCCAGGGCUUCACGCAUGCUACAAUGGCUGGUACAGAGAGUGGCGAGCCUGUGAGGGUGAGCGAAUCUCGGAAAGCCGGUCUCAGUUCGGAUUGGGGUCUGCAACUCGACCUCAUGAAGUCGGAGUCGCUAGUAAUCGCAGAUCAGCAACGCUGCGGUGAAUACGUUCCCGGG
rnacentral:rRNA from 1 species